rnacentral:lncRNA from 1 species
GAGGGUUGCACUGGCAUAGUUGGACAGAACCUGCUCAAAACAUGCAUGUGGUGAGUAGUCCCUCCUUCCACAGUGAAAUCCUGUUUUGACUGAUGUCCCUUACUUCCCUGUCCUGGCGAAAAGCAUCAAGUAACUAUUCUCCUUCCACUUCCCCUUCCCUUAAAUUGAGGUAGACUAAAAGACUGUUCAAUAAAUGGAGCUGAGGAAAAAAAGGUUAUUUGGAAAAAAAAUUAAAAUGA